rnacentral:tRNA from 1 species
UGCCUGCAUCUGGGAUCGAACCAGAGACCUCCUGUUUACAAGACAGGUGCUCUACCACUAAGCUAUACAGGC